rnacentral:lncRNA from 1 species
CUUUAGGGAGUUUGUUUGAUUGUGUACAAUACACUAACAGGCUGUGACUAUUUAUAAAUAUCAUUUUUCAGUUAUCCACAUGAUUUUGAUAUUAUUCAUAAUGAUAUCAUAAAAAUUAUUAGAUAAUAGUGAUAAUCACUAAAAUGAUAUUGUUAGAAUUGAAAAUAGACUUGAGAAUUUCUAAAACCCAGAUUGGAAC